GGGUCAGUAGGUUGGUCGUGCCACCGGUACGUACUGGUCUCACUGAUUCCUCCUUCCUGAAGAACCGUAAUGCCAUUAAUUUGGUGCUGCGGGGAAACAGGACUGUUACUUUGAAAAAAUUAGAGUGUUUAAAGCAAGCUAACGCUCGAAUACAUUAGCAUGGAAUAAUGAAAUAGGACGAUCGAUCCUAUUUUGUUGGUUUCUAGGAUUGACGUA
rnacentral:rRNA from 1 species